UAGAGCUGUGGAGUGUGACAAUGGUGUUUGUGUCCAUCUAUCAAACGCCAUUAUCACACUAAAUAGUUCCUGG
rnacentral:pre_miRNA from 15 species